ACGUAGGGGGCAAGCGUUAUCCGGAUUUACUGGGUGUAAAGGGAGCGUAGACGGCACGGCAAGCCAGAUGUGAAAGCCCGGGGCUCAACCUCGGGACUGCAUUUGGAACUGCUGAGCUAGAGUGUCGGAGAGGCAAGUGGAAUUCCUAGUGUAGCGGUGAAAUGCGUAGAUAUUAGGAGGAACACCAGUGGCGAAGGCGGCUUGCUGGACGAUGACUGACGUUGAGGCUCGAAAGCGUGGGGAGCAAACAG
rnacentral:rRNA from 1 species